rnacentral:rRNA from 1 species
GACGAACCGUGCGAACGUUGUUCGGAAUCACUGGGCUUGAAGGGCGCGUAGGCGGGCUAUCAAGUCCGGGGUGAAAUCCUCCAGCUCAACUGGAGAACUGCCUCGGAUACUGAUGGUCUCGAGGAGGAUAGGGGCACACGGAACUGUGGGUGGAGCGGUGAAAUGCGUUGAUAUCCAUAGGAACUCCGGUGGCGAAAGCGGUGUGCUGGAUCCUUUCUGACGCUGAGGCGCGAAAGCCAGGGGAGCAAACGGG